ACGGGGGGUGCAAGCGUUGUUCGGAAUUAUUGGGCGUAAAGGGCGCGUAGGCGGUUGGGUAAGUCAGAUGUGAAAUACCUCGGCUUAACCGAGGAACUGCAUUUGAAACUUCAUAGCUUGAGUAAGGGAGAGGGAAACGGAAUUCCCGGUGUAGAGGUGAAAUUCGUAGAUAUCGGGAGGAACACCAGUGGCGAAGGCGAUUUUCUGGCCCUAUACUGACGCUGAGACGCGAGAGCGUGGGGAGCAAACAG
rnacentral:rRNA from 1 species